CACAAAUUGGAUAGAAAUAAUCCUUCACCUAAUCAAUGAUCUUCACCCAAUCAAUGAUCCUUCCAUCCCAAUGAACUUUCCAAAAAAGCACCAUGGAAGGUGUGUAAGGAUGCACAAUAAGAUUUCAAAGUUCACAUUGAAACUCAAUAGUAGGCUUUCCAAAAAACCUUAAAUAACUCAGUGAAACAUUUCAUAAGGUGAAGGUAACUGACUGCCUACAAAUAUCCUGCAACCUUUUCAUAUGUGAGUUAAAAAUAUAUAAUUUUUAGCAUAUUUGGACUUGUGAGUAUUCUACAGUGUAUAAUAUCAAAGGCAAACAGGGAAACCAGAGACUGUUAUUCCUCAUAGGAAUCCUCACUUACCAUCAGUCACUGGGUAAUGGCCUCAGGAUGCAUAUUACAUUUGUUUCGUUUCAUCAAAGAUAUAAAUCUUGAUGCCUAGUAACCUGCGAGGCCUGGAUAGACCCUCUGCCACAUAUGUUUACAUGAUGUCUCUUGCUUAUGGCCUCUCAUAUCUAUUAAUUCUUCAACUCAUGAGGGAUUGGCCACUGUCACUGCAUUUGUAAGGAUUCUGUCAAGAAUGAAUUAACUGAUGUGAAAGGAGUGAAUUGUACCUAAUGACCUCACCACACUCAUUUGUAAGGUUUCUCUCCGGUAUGCAUUCUGUGAUGACUUGCAAGAUUUGAACUCUGCCUGAAGACCUUGCCACACUCAUUACAUUUGUAACGCUUUUCUCCAGUGUGGAUUGCCAUAUGGGUAGUUAGACUUGAUCUUACCCUAAAGGCUUUCCCACACUCUGUACACCUGUAAGGUUUCUCCCCAGUAUGAAUUCUUCGGUGAUUUGCCAGGUGUGCAUUUUGAGUAAAGACCUUGCCACAUUCAUUACAUUUGUAAGGUUUUUUCCCAGUAUGGAUUGCCUGAUGGGUGGUUAGGCUUGAACGAACACUGAAGGCUUUCCCACACUCAUUGCAUCGGUAAGGUUUCUCUCCGGUGUGAGUCCUUUGAUGAUUUGCAAGGUGUGAGUUCUGAGUGAAGACCUUGCCACAUUGAUUACAUUUGUAAGGCUUCUCUCCAGUAUGGAUGACCUUAUGGGUAGUUAGGUUUGAAUGCAUACUAAAGGCUUUCCCACAUUCAUUACACUUGUAAGGUUUCUCUCCAGUAUGAAUUCGCCGAUGAGUUGCAAGGUAUGAAUUGUGCCUAAAAACCUUGCCGCAUUGAUUACAUUUGUAAGGCUUCUCUCCAGUAUGGAUGACCUGAUGGGUAGUUAAGUUCGAAUGCACACUAAAGGCUUUCCCACACUCAUUACACUUGUAAGGUUUCUCUCCAGUAUGAACUCUCCGAUGACUCGCAAGGUGUGAAUUGUAACUGAAAACCUUACCACAUUCAUUGCAUUUGUAAGGUUUCUCUCCAGUAUGAAUUCUCCAAUGCCUUGCAAGGCUUGAAGUCUGACUGAAGACUUUACCACAUUCAUUACACUUGUAUGGUUUCUCCCCAGUGUGAAUUCUCUGAUGAGUUGCAAGGCUUGAAGUCUGACUGAACACCUUGCCACACUCAUUGCAUUUGUAAGGCUUCUUGCCACUAUGAAUUACCUGAUGGUUGGUAAGUGUUGACCUCACACUAAAGGCUUUGCCACACUCUUUACACGUGUAAGGUUUCUCUCCAAUAUGAGUUUUCUGAUGUAGUGCAAGGCAUGAAUUUCGACUGAAGACCUUGUCACACUCAUAACAUUUGUAAGGUUUCUCUCCAGUGUGAACUCUCCGAUGUAGUGCAAGGCAUGAGUUGCGACUGAAACCUCUGUCACAUUCAUUACAUUUGUAUGGUUUCUCUCCAGUAUGAACUCUCCAAUGACGCGCAAGGUUUGAUUUUUGACUAAAGACCUUGCCACACAGAUCACAUUUAUAUCCUUUCUCUCCAGAAUGACUUACCUGAUGUACAGUCAUGUGUGAGCCAUGAUUCAAGGCUUUGUCGCACUCAAUAUAUCUGUAAGGUUUUUCCCUAAUGCGUGAUUUCUGUUCUUGUGUGAGUAAUGAAGAACAGAUGAAAUCAGUCCCAUAUUUAUUAGAAACAUGGGUUUUGACGGUAGAAGAAAUUAUUUGGGGUGGUGAAACUGAGGAACCAUGGUUGACAGACUUCUCAACAUGGUUACAUUCAUAAAUUUUCCCUUCAGCUUGAAACUGCUGCAGUUCAGGGGGAUGUGGUAGAAAGCUUAAUCCAAGCUGAUGUUUAAUAGACUUGUUUCCUAUACCUCUUCUAUCGCGUUGGUCUCUCCUACAAGUAAGAUUUUCUUUUGGGGCCGUAGUCACUUUGUUGCAAUUUCUUUCAUCAUCUCUCCACUGACAGUCAAAGUCGUGUAUUUUUUUCUUGAUUUCUCUGAAGCAAAACUCUUCAAUGUCAUGUUUUUCAUGUUGUUCCAAUGUCACUGUGUGGAAUACUUCUCCUGGGUUACCUUCCUGUUGUGGUGCUAGUUCCUUGA
rnacentral:lncRNA from 1 species